rnacentral:lncRNA from 1 species
CUAAACUAUAUAUAUAUAUAUAUAUAUAUAUAUAUAUAUAUAUAUAUAUAUAUAUAGAGAGAGAGAGAGAGAGAGAGAGAGAGUCCGGCUGGGAUACUACCGAUAGCACCAAGGGCUUGGUGUUAUCGAGUUUUCCACUGUUAAAUUUAACCUUUUGAUUAUAUUUACUCGUUAGAUUAUAAUAUUCAAUCAACCACUCACUCAAUCCUAGAGGGCCCGCAUCAUCCUAACCGCAUAUUUCUCAAUCCAAGUGCUAAAAAACUAAUAGCACCAAUAGCUUAGUGUUAUUGAUAGUAUUCCAGCCGAGUUAUAUAUAUAAUAUAUAGAGUUAGGCUGGAAUACUAUCGAUAGUACGGAGGCCUCCGUGCUACCAAGUUAUUUUCAAUAAUGCGGCUUCCAAAUCGACGAUCGGCUCCGUUAGACUUGAUCUACACUAUUGAAAGCAUUUGAAACUAAAUUUCAUAAUUUUUCGACAUUAUUUGGUUAGUGAUCAAAAGGUCUCAAAAUUGACAAUUUUAAUGGUAGCUGUGAUGCGUUUGUAAAUUUAACGGUGUAAAACCAUUCAAAUCUGAUGAAAUAUUUAUAGAAAAUUCUUUUCACUAUUUAGAGUAACAUCAGUACCUCUGAUCUUAAAUUUAAAUCUUUUAUUAUCAUUUUUUAUGAGAUUUUUAUUUUCAGCCGUUCAUUUUUAGACUACUCGUUUGAUAGGUAACUAUAUACCAUACUUUAGUGGGGGAU